UCAGUUCGUCCCGUCGGUACACGAAA
rnacentral:sRNA from 1 species